rnacentral:rRNA from 1 species
GAUGAACGCUGGCGGCGUGCCUAAUACAUGCAAGUCGAGCGAAUGGAUUAAGAGCUUGCUCUUAUGAAGUUAGCGGCGGACGGGUGAGUAACACGUGGGUAACCUGCCCAUAAGACUGGGAUAACUCCGGGAAACCGGGGCUAAUACCGGAUAACAUUUUGAACCGCACGGUUCGAAAUUGAAAGGCGGCUUCGGCUGUCACUUAUGGAUGGACCCGCGUCGCAUUAGCUAGUUGGUGAGGUAACGGCUCACCAAGGCGACGAUGCGUAGCCGACGUGGGAGGGUGAUGGACCACACGGGGACUGAGACACGGCCCAGACGCCUACGGGGGGCAGCAGUAGGGAAUCUUCCGCAAUGGACGAAAAUCUGACGGAGCAACGCCGCGUGAGUGAUGAAGGCUUUCGGGUCGUAAAACUCUGUUGUUAGGGAAAAACAAGUGCUAGUUGAAUAAGCUGGCACCUUGACGGUACCUAACCAGAAAGCCACGGCUAACUACGUGCCAGCCGCCGCCGUAA